UAAUACGAAGGUGGCAAGCGUUAUUCGGAUUUACUGGGCGUACAGGGAGCGUAGGCGGUUCGGUAAGCCCUUUGUGAAAUCUCCAGGCUUAACCUGGAACAGUCGGAGGGGACUGCCGGGCUAGAGGACGGGAGAGGAGCGCGGAAUUCCCGGUGUAGCGGUGAAAUGCGUAGAGAUCGGGAGGAAGGCCGGUGGCGAAGGCGGCGCUCUGGAACGUUUCUGACGCUGAGGCUCGAAAGCGUGGGGAGCAAACAGGAUUAGAUACCCUGGUAGUCCACGCCUUAAACUAUGAAUACUAAGUGUCGGCGGGUUACCGCCGGUGCCGCAGCUAACGCAUUAAGUAUUCCGCCUGGGAAGUACGGCCGCAAGGUU
rnacentral:rRNA from 1 species